UGCUAAGACUGGAUAGGAAAAGUAAAGGCAUCUUUACUUUUUUAAAAGACCUUCUUUGGAGGUAUGCUUAAGGAGGGGCUUGCGACACAUUAGUUAGUUGGCAGGGUAAAGGCCUACCAAGACUAUGAUGUGUAGCUGGACUGAGAGGUUGAACAGCCACAUUGGGACUGAGACACGGCCCAAACUCCUACGGGAGGCAGCAGUAGGGAAUUUUCGGCAAUGGAGGAAACUCUGACCGAGCAACGCCGCGUGAACGAUGAAGUACCUCGGUAUGUAAAGUUCUUUUAUUAAGGAAGAAAAAAGAGUGGAAAAACUCCCUUGACGGUACUUAAUGAAUAAGCCCCGGCUAAUUAUGUGCCAGCAGCCGCGGUAAUACAUAAGGGGCGAGCGUUAUCCGGAAUUAUUGGGCGUAAAGGGUGCGUAGGCGGUUUAAUAAGUCUAUAGUUUAAUUUCAGUGCUUAACGCUGUUGUGCUAUAGAAACUGUUUUACUAGAGUGAGAUAGAGGCAAGCGGAAUUCCAUGUGUAGCGGUAAAAUGCGUAAAUAUAUGGAGGAACACCAGAGGCGUAGGCGGCUUGCUGGGUCUUUACUGACGCUGAGGCACGAAAGCGUGGGGAGCAAACAGGAUUAGAUACCCUGGUAGUCCACGCCGUAAACGAUGAGUACUAAGUGUCGGGUAAAACCGGUACUGAAGUUAACACAUUAAGUACUCCGCCUGAGUAGUACGUACGCAAGUAUGAAACUUAAAGGAAUUGACGGGACUCCGCACAAGCGGUGGAUCAUGUUGUUUAAUUCGAAGAUACACGAAAAACCUUACCAGGUCUUGACAUUUUCUUGCGAAGUUAUAGAAAUAUAAUGGAGGUUAUCAGGAAAACAGGUGGUGCAUGGUUGUCGUCAGCUCGUGUCGUGAGAUGUUAGGUUAAGUCCUAAAACGAGCGCAACCCUUGUCGUUAAUUGCCAGCAUGUAAUGAUGGGGACUUUAACGAGACUGCCAAUGAAAAAUUGGAGGAAGGUGGGGAUUACGUCAAAUCAUCAUGCCCCUUAUGAUCUGGGCUACAAACGUGAUACAAUGGUUGAUACAAAGAGUAGCUGAAACGCGAGUUCUUAGCCAAUCUCACAAAAUCAAUCUCAGUUCGGAUUGAAGUCUGCAACUCGACUUCAUGAAGUUGGAAUCGCUAGUAAUCGCGAAUCAGCAUGUCGCGGUGAAUACGUUCUCGGGGUUUGUACACACCGCC
rnacentral:rRNA from 1 species